GAUGAACGCUGGCGGCGUGCCUAAUACAUGCAAGUCGAGCGAACAGAUGCUGCGCUUGCUCCUCUGACGUUAGCGGCGCACGGGUGAGUCACACGUGUAUAACCUCCCUAUCAUACUGGUAUAACUUCGGGACACCGGCUCUAAUACCGGAUAAUAUCUUGAACCGCAUGGUUCAUUAGUGGAAGACGGUUUUGCUGUCACUUCUAGAUGGAUCCGCGCCGCAUUAGCUAGUUGUUAAGGUAACGGCUUAUCAAGGCGACGCUGCGUAGCCGACCUGAGAGGGGGAUAGGCCACACGGGAACGGAGACGGGGACCAGACUACUGAGGGAGGGAGCAGAAGGGAAUGGGACGCAAUAGGCGGAAGCUUGACGGAGCAAGGGCGAGUGAGUGAUGAAGGUCUUCGGAGCGGAAAGCUCUGUUAUUAGGGAAGAACAAAUGUGGAAGUAAAUAUGCACGUAGUGACGGUACCGAAUCAGAAAGCAACGGCUAACUACGUG
rnacentral:rRNA from 1 species